GCUUCUGAGAGGUUGGGAGUCUCUGUUCUAAUGUGACAGAGGGCCAUACUGUCUCCAGAGCUACUCGGAGGGUUUCAAUGACCACGCUACCUGCCUUGGUCCCCAGAGUGCUUACACUGGCCAUGGUACGUAGCUUCCUGCUUCUGCUCACGGAAGAACAAUAAGACCUUUGCCGAUGGAGCACUGACGCAGGCUGCGGGCUUCAUAUGGGUCCUUGAAUUCUUAUCAUCAGACUUUCAUAUCCUUUUACAGAUUAGACCCCCAACACACUAACAGGUUAAGCCAAUAGUUCGAGUUCCCACCACUGUGGGAUUGGGUGGGGCAGGGAUUUGAACCUACACAGUGUAGCCUAGAGCUAACCAGCACAGCCCCUCCCUCUUCCUCCUCAGCUCAGCCCCACUCAGGCUGUAAUUCUGGAAAAUGCAAACUUGAUGGCACCGGUUUGGGGCUCAUUUCCUCCAUGGCUCCGUACUGCCCCAGGGCUUGAAAACCGUGGUCUGCGGAGUCUACGGCUUAACCUUCGCUGCCCGGCAUCUACCUUGAUUUCCCCCUUUAGAUGCACCAAGCUAAUCUGCUUUCCGAAUCCAACUCCUUCACCUGCCAGGACUACCUUCUGUAGAGAGGAAUCUCAGGGUAUAGUGGGGUAAGCUUUGUACCUGGUCACAAAACCAGCCCCCAUGAGUCUGUCUAGUCUGAAGCCUUCUAUGGAUACAGAGGUCCCCAGUGUUAGCUUGCACUGGGUGGUAACAGGUUCUGUCCAAACGGCAGCUUCCCAGGCCCCACCCUGGAGGGGAGGGGUUUGGUCUGAGUACCUGUAUGUUGACCUUUUGGCGUGAACCUGAGCAUCCUCCAGUCCUUCCCAGCCCUUCCGGCUGCCUGAUAAACUCAAGUUGCCAUGGAAACAGAAAUGCUUAUAUGGGGUUUUUAACCAUAGGGCUCUGUUCAUCCAAGGCCACCAGCCCCGACCUUCUGCAGCAGCUUGACUUGUUAAGAACCUUGGAAUCUUUCCACUCACAAGUGUAUUUCCCAAAUCCCAGAGAGGGCUGAUACAGAACAGAGGCUCACAUGGCUGUCUGCACAUUGGAGCAUGAACUGUGUGGCCCAUCUAGGCCCUAGACUCUGUCAAGUAUAGACGCUGCUGCUGCUGCUGCUGUUGCUGCUGUGGCAGUGGAGGCUGCUGCUGCCUGGCGACCACUCUUGGAGAAUCACUGGUAUGAAGGAAGCCAGGUUGCAGAGUUGGUGGUCAGACAGAGGAAGUAUGGGUAGAGGCCUGGAGCUCUACUGGAUUCUGCUGUGGCUCAGCUUUCUUAUCCUCAAAUGUGAAGAACAGCAGGCUACCUACUGCUGGGGGUCAUAAGGACUUCAGGGCACGGGAGGGAUCAGAACUGUCCUGCCACCUGGCUCUUUCCACAGAUGUUUGCUGAGCCAGCACCAUGCUCCUUCCCCGAUGUGUCCGGGGCCCAGUUCUCAUGGGCUUCAUGGAUCCUUCCACCCCCUUGAGGGACAGGCUGUCCUCUGGGCAUGGAUGGGAGGUAGCACGGGAGGGGUCAAGCCAUGGCUUGGUCUCUCUUUACCAAGUAUGCUUAUCCUUGAAGGAGGAGACCGCAGGAGCCUAGCUUCUCCUCCUGACUGUGGAACCCCUUCAACUCCAUUAGACUCCAGCCCUCACUUAUAGUUACUAUAUUCAGAAAGCGGAACUCGAGAGCAGCAUAUUGGAAUCUCACACUAGCCCACUCUGUACCACUUGGGAUAAGACUCAUCCCUUGGCCGAGUUCAAUGCUGUGGGCUAUGCUCACAGUUACUGAGGAAUGGUCUUGGUGUUCAGAUCAACUGUGCAUCCUGCCAGUGCUCCCAUUAGAUGACCCUUCUCAGACUUAAUAAUGGGACGAGAUGAGGCUGCGACUUGGAAGCCUCACAGAGGGCUGUGGAGAGCUCCCUUCAGGUGAAAAGGUUCACUCAUAUACGGUAAGGAAAAGGCAGUCUGAGGUUGUUGCUAACGUUCCGCAAGAAGAAAUCUGCUCCUGACGCUUCAAAGGAGGAAAAGGAAUUUCGGGCUAAUCAUGUCACAUGUCAAACUGCAAACGUUCUGCCCAGGGUUUGUGGAGGGAUGGGAAAGGCAUACACACUGGGAAGCUGCACUGGGCAGCUUGCACUAACAGACUCAUUGGUCCAGUCAGGGUUCUCCAGCCGCCUGUGGAUUUUGGACUGUCACCUGCCAGAGAGGGUGCAACGGGAAAGGAAAUCAGGGCCAGAACACCUGGGGAGGUGGGUGAAGGCUGUGAUGAAAUUCCUUGGAAGAUUCAUUUGCCUUGGUAAAAUCACCAGGACUAGAUGCUGGAGCAGAAUGAAGAAGUCAGAGAAGAAAG
rnacentral:lncRNA from 1 species